AUUGAACGCUGGCGGCAGGCCUAACACAUGCAAGUCGAGCGGUAACACAAGGGAGCUUGCUCCUGAGGUGACGAGCGGCGGACGGGUGAGUAAUGCCUAGGUAUCUGCCCAGUCGAGGGGGAUAACAGUUGGAAACGACUGCUAAUACCGCAUACGCCCUACGGGGGAAAGGAGGGGACCUUCGGGCCUUUCGCGAUUGGAUGAACCUAGGUGGGAUUAGCUAGUAGGUGGGGUAAUGGCUCACCUAGGCAACGAUCCCUAGCUGGUCUGAGAGGAUGAUCAGCCACACUGGAACUGAGACACGGUCCAGACUCCUACGGGAGGCAGCAGUGGGGAAUAUUGCACAAUGGGCGAAAGCCUGAUGCAGCCAUGCCGCGUGUAUGAAGAAGGCCUCGG
rnacentral:rRNA from 1 species